rnacentral:lncRNA from 1 species
CUUAUAUAUACAAACAAUUGUCAACAGAUUAUUUGUGACAUUUUGUCCUACCAAAUUUGUGACUUUAUGUCCUGUGGCUUUCUGUUCGUUUACCUUUUGUAAACACCUUCCCAUUGGCGGAUCCAGGGGGUGUUCCAGGGGUUGGAACCCCCUUUUCUUGGACGACCAAUGCAUUUGAAUGGGUACAUGUGGUUGGAACCCCCUUUAUCUUGAGUGGGGAAACCCCCUUUUUAAAAUGGAUGGAUCCGCCCCUGCUUUCAGACCCUCAUUGUAAACCCCUUC